rnacentral:rRNA from 1 species
UACGAAGGGGCUAGCGUUGCUCGGAAUCACUGGCGUAAAGCGCACGUAGGCGGAUUGUUAAGUCAGGGGUGAAAUCCUGGAGCUCAACUCCAGAACUGCCUUUGAUACUGACGGUCUUGAGUUCGGGAGAGGUGAGUGGAACUGCGAGUGUAGAGGUGAAAUUCGUAGAUAUUCGCAAGAACACCAGUGGCGAAGGCGGCUCACUGGCCCGAUACUGACGCUGACGGUGCGAAAGCGUGGGGAGCAAACA